rnacentral:sRNA from 1 species
GCUGGGCCCGGUGGUGCACGCCUGUAAUCCCAGUAGCUCUGAAGGCUGAGGCAGGAGGAUCACAAGUUCAAAGCCAGCCUUAGCAACUUAGGGAGGCCCUAAACAACUUUGCAAGAUCCUGUCUCAA